UUGAGUACUGAGUACUAGUCGAUCUAGUGUACAAGAGAAAGAAGACGAGAAUAAACUUUCUUCUUUGUAUUUCUUUUUUUCACACAUUUACAACGUCUUUCCAUGGGCUUUUUAUACACUACUCUUUCUUGACGUACACUUGUCUACCUUUUCAUCAUUUCAUGGUGCAAGGGAUUGCAAAACACGCGGUUUUAGGUCAGAUUGCUCGUUAGAAGAAAAGAUUAAUCUUUUCUUCUACGGAGCAAUCUGAACUUAACAUGCUUUAGAUGUAUGCACAGAGACGAAAGUGACGUGGCUGAACAUUUGCUUGUGUUUUGUCUUUGUGUUGUUGAUUGUUUGGGCUUGUUGAGAUGUUGAAGUUGGGCCAGUAAAGUUGAGCUUAGAAUUCUGAGAUGCAUUCAACACCAAAUUUAAUAUAUGGUCGUGUGAGUGUUAGAUAUUGAAGUUUACCAGCAAGUCACCAACCCCAUAACGAAGCAUGUUAUACACGUAUCAACUUGUCUAACCGUGGCUAUUAGGGAUCCUCUCCGAAGAGGUCUUAUUUGGUUACGUGUAUGGUUUCUCUUCUUAUCAUGACAUUUGAAACACUCUCGCUGAUAACUUCCAUAUAUAGAAGUUAUGUUGCUCAUGUUUUCUAACUUCGUUGUGAUCUCCAAAGUAAUUGGUCAUCUUGUUGAUGUACUUUUUGAAUAUAUUUUAGUCCCUUAAAUGGGUAAUAUGAUCCAUAUACGCAUGGAGAUUCAUAGCUCUCUUUCUCUCUUUCCCCUAUGUUUAAUGAUGUGGCUUCAGAAAUCUUUGGUAUUAAUGCUCGUCUUCACUCCAAUAUAUGAAGUCACACAAUCUAUGUUAUACACCUCUGAUGCAGCAGC
rnacentral:sRNA from 1 species